CCCUGGACGGUGGAUCACUUGGCUCGCGGGUCGAUGAAGAACGCAGUUAACUGCGUCAUAUGUGAACUGCGGACACAUUUGAACAUCGACAUUUCGAACGCACAUUGCGGUCCGUGGAGACACAUCCAGGACCACUCCUGUCUGAGGGC
rnacentral:rRNA from 1 species